rnacentral:rRNA from 1 species
UAGGGAAUUUUCCGCAAUGGACGCAAGUCUGACGGAGCAACGCCGCGUGAGUGAAGAAGGAUUUCGGUUCGUAAAACUUUGUCGUUAGAGAAGAACAGCGCAUAGAGUAACUGUUAUGCGUGUGACGGUAUCUAACCAGAAAGCCACGGCUAACUACGUGCCAGCAGCCGCGGUAAUACGUAGGUGGCAAGCGAUGUCCGGAUUUAUUGGGCGUAAAGCGAGCGCAGGCGGUGGAUUAAGUCUGAUGUGAAAGCCCCCGGCUCAACCGGGGAGGGUCAGUGGGACCUGGAUGACUUAAGUGCAGAAGAGGUGAGUGGAAUUCCAUGUGUAACGGUGAAAUGCGUGGUUAUGUGGGGGAAAACCAGUGGCGAAGGCGACUCUCUUGUCUGUAACUGACGCUGAAGCUCGAAAACGUGGGUAGCAGACAGG